rnacentral:lncRNA from 1 species
CAUAUACAAUGAACUAUGCAGCAAUAUGAAAAUUAAAAAUUAAAGUUUAAUAUCGACUGGACCGCAUGUGACAGUGCUUAUGUGACUCUGCUGGCCUGCAACAGCGUGUAGAAGGAUUUAAGCAAAAUGAAACAGACAGAAAUAUUGAUCCAGACAACUGGAAUUUUCAAGUGUAUUGCAAUGAUAAUGCCGACUGGAAAGGAAAGAGAAGAAGGUAACAAAGAAAAGCCAAGAAAACUAUUUGGAGUGAGAGACUAUGCCUUGUCCCCUACUCUUUUUCUCCACUAA